UACGUAGGGGGCAAGCGUUGUCCGGAAUCAUUGGGCGUAAAGCGCGCGUAGGCGGCCAGAUAAGUCCGGUGUGAAAGUCACAGGCUCAACCUGUGAAUGCCGCUGGAAACUGUCUGGCUUGAGUCCGGAAGGGGCGAGUGGAAUUCCUGGUGUAGCGGUGAAAUGCGCAGAUAUCAGGAGGAACACCAAUGGCGAAGGCAGCUCGCUGGAACGGUACUGACGCU
rnacentral:rRNA from 1 species